rnacentral:rRNA from 1 species
UACAGAGGUCCCAAGCGUUGUUCGGAUUCAUUGGGCGUAAAGGGUGCGUAGGCGGCGCGGUAAGUCGGGUGUGAAAUUUCGGGGCCUAACUCCGAGACUGCAUUCGAUACUGCCGUGCUUGAGGACUGGAGAGGAGACUGGAAUUUACGGUGUAGCGGUGAAAUGCGUAGAUAUCGUAAGGAAGACCAGUGGCGAAGGCGGGUCUCUGGACAGUUCCUGACGCUGAGGCACGAAGGCCAGGGGAGCAAACGGG